UAUAUAUAUAUAUAUAUUAUUUGUUAAGAAUAGUCUCAUUUUCUGACACAGAAGCAGAGAGAUCUGCAAGGACUACUGCACUGGCAUCAGUGAGUACUGGAAACUGCAUCCAGCAGUUCAUUUCAUUUGAGUAAAUUAAUCUCUGUUACCAUUAGUCUUUGCAAUUCUCUUAAGUCUUGCAAUUGGCAUAGUCUUGCCAUUUAGUCAUCACCAAAUCUGUACAAGUAAGGACAGAAUCUCCCUCCUUGGCCCAGGGAAUCAAGAUCAAGUGAAGCUGCCAUAAUUACAUUUUGUUAGAAAAAGGCUUGUGCCAAGCCAUCACUCUUGAGUUCCAUGGGUUGAGUAAAGCUGCCCCGUAACUCAUUUUAGGGCUUGAAACACAUCUUCAGUGAGCCAAAUGAAAAAAAAAAACACUGUAGGGAUAUAACCACCAGUGUUGGAGAAAGCAGGACAGGAACAGUCAGGUGAGGGCUCUGGGAAGCUCAUGGGCCACAGGCUGCAGUGUUAUUCCUGUCACCUCAGAAAUGUUCUCACCUUUCAGGGCCUCUUCAAGCAGCAUCUGAUGUAAAAUCUCUUCAUACACGUUCUCUACUUGGAUCACACUUGUGUAAUCAGCAAAAAUGUACUGCUCGUAUUUCUGCAGCUCCUGUGCAGGUAGGGAAGAAAGGAACAGAUGGAGAAAACCGAGGCAUUCUGAGUUCUACUGCAACCAAACAGCUUGGAGAUGCCAUGGAGCAGGUCUUGCCACACCCCGUGACAGCUCCUGGGGUGCAGUGUUUGAACUAUGACUCCAAGAGCUACGUGUGACCACAAUCAAUUAUGUACUUACCAAACAGUGUUCCUGCAGUACAACCACAGUUAAAAGCACUGCAGAUCACUGCCUGCUGAAACAAACAGCUGCUGAGGAAGUGCCUCACAACUUGUUUGUCCAAGGAGGCAAAUCCAUGGGAGAUGCGGGGUUUGGUUUUGUUUUUCUAACAGAAGAGGCACCUACACAAAUCACCUGGAGGUUUUCAAGUAAAAGGUCAGGACUUGGCGGGGCCUGUCAGCUGUGCCACACUUUGGCUUCUAGAGCUGGCUGCUCAUUUCUGCAGAGGCACAAAUACAAAAAGGCUGGUGGGAAACUAAACAGGAAAGGCUUGUGGAAGUUUGCUCCACCACUGCUUCCUCUGUGACAGAGACAUGAGGUGUCUGCACACAUAUUCCAGGUAAUCUGCACCAGUGCCUCCUGGAAUAUCUUCUUGCGGAUGGUGCUGCUGUCGUAGUCAUAUUGCUGCCAAAACACACCAGAAAGCAACAAGCCCAAGCGUGCCUGGGGUUAUUCACCACUCCCACAGGGAACUGCUUCCUGUCAGCCUGUAGCUGCUGCAUCACAGGGGCACAGGCUUGGAAUGGCCAUGCAGGUUAGUCCAGCUUCUACAAAAUCACUCUCAAAUCUAUUGUUCUGGGAUCUCUUUCACUUCUUUUAACUCUGAGGUUAAAACAGUCCCCGAUUGCCCUGCCCGGGUGUUUCAGCACUGCCCUUUCUGAGAGUAACGAAUCCCAGUGGCAGGCUAAUUAUAAAGUUAAUUAAAAAUUAUUUAUGCAGAUCCACAGCAAUUAAUAAUCUGAUUUACCUACAAUUAAAGGGACUGCACAUGCAAAUACUUUUAUAUGUGUCUGCCCAGAACUAGGUUUUAUACCUCAAAUGGGCAGCUUUGCUAAGGGCCAGCAAAUCAAUAUUUUCAGCUGGUAAAAGCUUAUCCUCUUUCAAAUACUAAGUACAUUCAUAUAAAAUGUAUUCUGUUUCCAGAAAGGCAGCCUGCAAAUGUGCUGCAUGACAUUUACCUUCAGCACUCUCAGCUUGACUUUUUCAAUGGUUGUUGCAACUUUGGCCGAGUCUGCCUGGUGGCUUGGAGAGAACAACUGCUCGAACGUAUAAACUGCAUUUUCCAUCAGCUAAAAAUAGUAAUUUAAAACAAACCUGUUAAAGAUCAGUAACAUCAAAUUCCUGCAAACAUGACAUGUGCAACUGUUAAUUUAAAUUGUGUUUCUGAGAAGGUGCUGUAAAGAGCACUGGAAUGCUGAAAUAAAUAAAUAAAAUUAAAGCUGUGAUAUCAUUAUCAUGCUGUGCCAGCUUUCUUGUACAGAUUUGAUCUCAUGUCCCCACCCAAACUGAUGGUGGCAGAGCCAAAAUGUAGAAUUGAUUAUCUGUGUAUACAGACCACAGUCAAAACUCAUUAUCCCUAAUAAGAAGACUCCCAUUGACUUCUAUCAUUAAUCAUUAAUAAACAGUAUUUAAUCAUACUGCACAUCCUUUUCAGUAGCUUUCAUUAUAAUACAAAUAAAUAAUCAGCAAAAAUCACACAGAGUGCAAUCAUUUCUCACAGAAUUAUGCUAAGCUGGCAUUUACCAUAUUUUCAGCUUAUCAUUAAGAAUAUUAUGCCCCUCUCUGAAGAUAUUUCAGACAAACAAUUCUGCAAGCGGUAAUUGAGUCUAUUUAACGAGGCUGUGCCUUUUCUUUAGCUGUUCCCAUUCAAAUUUUAACAUUUUCUUAUUGGAGAAGUACCGGGAGAUAUGCAGGGGGGGCAUUCCUUCAGCCAGUUGAGCAUCGUGCUCCCAGAUUUCCCGAAAUCGGCCACUAGAGGAUGCCAAGCUCCCAAGGCAAGGAAUCCUGCUCCACCCUCCACCCGGAGUACAUUUUAGCCAAAAUGUACUACAGCAACACAGACAUGUCUGAUUUCACUUAUUUAUGAAAUAAACGCCCAUGGACAAAAAGAGAAACUGCACAAUAUUUUUAUGAGGAAAAUACCAGUCU